UACCGCGGUUAUACGAGAGACUCAAGUUGACAGACCCCGGCGUAAAGAGUGGUUAAAAUCAUACCCCUAUACUAAAGCCGAACAACCUCAAAGCUGUUAUACGCAUCCGAAGGUUAGAAGUACAACUACGAAAGUGGCUUUAAUCAGUUGAACCCACGAAAGCCAAGGUA
rnacentral:rRNA from 1 species